AGAGUUUGAUCAUGGCUCAGAACGUACGCUGGCGGCACGCCUUAUACAUGCAAGUCGAACGCAGUAGCAAUACUGAGUGGCAGACGGGUGAGUAUAAUGUGGGAAUCUGCCUUUUGGUUUGGAAUAACUCGGGGAAACCUGAGCUAAUACUGGAUAAGCCCUCACGGGGAAAGCUUUAUGCGCCAAAAGAUGAGCCCGCACUUGAUUAGCUUGUUGGUGAGGUAAAAGCUCACCAAGGCAACGAUCAAUAGCUGUUCUUAGAGGAAGACCAGCCACAUUGGGACUGAGACACGGCCCAGACUCCUACGGGAGGCAGCAGUAAGGAAUCUUGCACAAUGGGGGAAACCCUGAUGCAGCGAUGCCGCGUGAGUGAAGAAGGCCUUUGGGUUGUAAAACUCUUUCGUCGGGGAAGAAAAUGACUGUACCCGAAUAAGAAGGUCCGGCUAACUUCGUGCCAGCAGCCGCGGUAAUACGAAGGGACCUAGCGUAGUUCGGAAUUACUGGGCUUAAAGAGCUCGUAGGUGGUUAGAAAAGUUGGUGGUGAAAUCCCAAGGCUCAACCUUGGAACUGCCAUCAAAACUUUCUAGCUUGAGUGUGAUAGAGGAAAGUGGAAUUUCUAGUGUAGAGGUGAAAUUCGUAGAUAUUAGAAAGAACACCAAAUGCGAAGGCAACUUUCUGGAUCACUACUGACACUGAGGAGCGAAAGCAUGGGUAGCGAAGAGGAUUAGAUACCCUCGUAGUCCAUGCCGUAAACGAUGUGUGCUAGACGU
rnacentral:rRNA from 1 species